GUCGAGCGGUAACAUUUCCAGCUUGCUGGAAGAUGACGAGCGGCGGACGGGUGAGUAAAGCAUAGGAAUCUGGCCGAUAGAGGGGGAUAGCCCGGAGAAAUCCGGAUUAAUACCGCAUGUACUCUAAGGAGCAAAGCAGGGGAUCUUCGGACCUUGCGCUAUCGGAUGAGCCUAUGUCGGAUUAGUUAGUUGGUGGGGUAAAGGCCUACCAAGGCGACGAUCCGUAGCUGGUCUGAGAGGAUGAUCAGCCACAUCGGGACUGAGACACGGCCCGAACUCCUACGGGAGGCAGCAGUGGGGAAUAUUGCACAAUGGGCGCAAGCCUGAUGCAGCUAUGCCGCGUGUGUGAAGAAGGCCUUAGGGUUGUAAAGCACUUUCGGUAGUGAGGAAAAGUAUAGUGUUAAUAGCGCUAUACCGUGACGUUAACUACAGAAGAAGGACCGGCAAACUCCGUGCCAGCAGCCGCGGUAAUACGGAGGGUCCGAGCGUUAAUCGGAAUUACCGGGCGUAAAGGGCGCGUAGGCGGUUAUUUAAGUGAGAUGUGAAAUCCCCGGGCUUAACCCGGGAACAGCAUUUCAAACUGGAUAACUUGAGUAUGUUAGAGGGUGUUGGAAUUUCCCGUGUAGCGGUGGAAUGCGUAGAUAUGGGAAGG
rnacentral:rRNA from 1 species